ACUCCUACGGGAGGCAGCAGUAGGGAAUCUUCCACAAUGGACGCAAGUCUGAUGGAGCAACGCCGCGUGAGUGAUGAAGGGUUUCGGCUCGUAAAACUCUGUUGUUGGAGAAGAACUGGUGAUAGAGUAACUGUUAUCAUCUUGACGGUAUCCAACCAGAAAGCCACGGCUAACUACGUGCCAGCAGCCGCGGUAAU
rnacentral:rRNA from 1 species